CGUGUAGGCGGCUAACCAAGUCAGAUGUGAAAUCCCUGGGCUUAACCCAGGAACUGCAUCUGAAACUGGCUAGCUAGAGUACGGGAGAGGAAGGUGGAAUUCCUGGUGUAGAGGUGAAAUUCGUAGAUAUCGGGAAGAACACCGGUGGCGAAGGUGGCCUUCUGGCCCGAUACUGACGCUGAGACGCGAAAGCGUGGGGAGCAAACA
rnacentral:rRNA from 1 species